rnacentral:rRNA from 1 species
AUUGAACGCUGGCGGCAGGCCUAACACAUGCAAGUCGAGCGAGCGGCGGACGGGUGAGUAAUGUAUGGGGAUAUGCCUGAUGGAGGGGGAUAACUACUGGAAACGGUAGCUAAUACCACAUACCAUCAGAUGAACCCAUAUGGGAUGAGCUUGUAGGUGGGGUAAUGGCUAACCUAGGCGACGAUCCCUAGCUGGUCUGAGAGGAGGAUCAGCCACACUGGAACGGAGAUACGGCCCAGACUCCUACGGAAGGCAGCAGUGGGGAAUAUUGCACAAUGGGCGCAAGCCUGAUGCAGCCAUGCCGCGUGUGUGAAGAAGGCCUUCGGGUUGUAAAGUACUUUCAGUCGGGAGGCGUUACCGACAGAAGAAGCACCGGCUAACUCCGUGCCAGCAGCCGCGGUAAUAC